AGUGAACGCUGGCGGUAGACCUAACACAUGCAAGUCGAACGGCAGCACAGUAAGAGCUUGCUCUUACGGGUGGCGAGUGGCGGACGGGUGAGGAAUACAUCGGCAUCUACUUUUUCGUGGGGGAUAACGUAGGGAAACUUACGCUAAUACCGCAUACGACCUACGGGUGAAAGCAGGGGAUCUUCGGACCUUGCGCGAUUGAAUGAGCCGGUGUCGGAUUAGCUAGUUGGCGGGGUAAAGGCCCACCAAGGCGACGAUCCGUAGCUGGUCUGAGAGGAUGAUCAGCCACACUGGAACUGAGACACGGUCCAGACUCCUACGGGAGGCAGCAGUGGGGAAUAUUGGACAAUGGGCGCAAGCCUGAUCCAGCCAUACCGCGUGGGUGAAGAAGGCCUUCGGGUUGUAAAGCCCUUUUGUUGGGAAAGAAAAGCAGCAGGUUAAUACCCCGCUGUUCUGACGGUACCCAAAGAAUAAGCACCGGCUAACUUCGUG
rnacentral:rRNA from 1 species